rnacentral:rRNA from 1 species
GAACGUACGCUGGCGGCACGCCUAACACAUGCAAGUCGAACGAAGUAGCAAUACUUAGUGGCAGACGGGUGAGUAACAUGUAGGUAUCUGCCCUUUGGCCUGGAAUAACACGAGGAAACUUGUGCUAAUACCGGAUAAGUCUUUACGGAGAAAGCUUUAUGCACCAUUGGAUGAGCCUGCACUUGAUUAGUUUGUUGGUGGGGUAAUGGCCUACCAAGACUGUGAUCAAUAGCUGAUUUGAGAGGAUGAUCAGCCACAUUGGGACUGAGACACGGCCCAAACUCCUACGGGAGGCAGCAGUGGGGAAUCUUGCACAAUGGAGGAAACUCUGAUGCAGCGAUGCCGCGUGAGUGAAGAAGGCCUUUGGGUUGUAAAGCUCUUUCGUCGGGGAAGAAAAUGACUGUACCCGAAUAAGAAGGUCCGGCUAACUUCGUGCCAGCAGCCGCGGUAAUACGAAGGGACCUAGCGUAGUUCGGAAUUACUGGGCUUAAAGAGUUCGUAGGUGGUUGAAAAAGUUAGUGGUGAAAUCCCAGAGCUUAACUCUGGAACUGCCAUUAAAACUUUUCAGCUAGAGUAUGAUAGAGGAAAGCAGAAUUUCUAGUGUAGAGGUGAAAUUCGUAGAUAUUAGAAAGAAUACCAAUUGCGAAGGCAGCUUUCUGGAUCAUUACUGACACUGAGGAACGAAAGCAUGGGUAGCGAAGAGGAUUAGAUACCCUCGUAGUCCAUGCCGUAAACGAUGUGUGUUAGACGUUGGAAAUUUAUUUUCAGUGUCGCAGCGAAAGCGAUAAACACACCGCCUGGGGAGUACGACCGCAAGGUUAAAACUCAAAUGAAUUGACGGGGACCCGCACAAGUAGUGGAGCAUGUGGUUUAAUUCGAAGAUACGCGCAGAACCUUACCAACACUUGACAUGUUCGUCGCGACUCUAAGAGAUUAGAGUUUUCGGUUCGGCCGGACGAAACACAGGUGCUGCAUGGCUGUCGUCAGCUCGUGUCGUGAGAUGUUGGGUUAAGUCCCGCAACGAGCGCAACCCUCACUUUUAGUUGCCAUCAUUAAGUUGGGCACUCUGAAAGAACUGCCAGUGAUAAGCUGGAGGAAGGUGGGGAUGACGUCAAGUCCUCAUGGCCCUUACGUGUUGGGCUACACACGUGCUACAAUGGUAUUUACAACAGGAAGCAAGACUGCGAAGUUAAGCAAAUCCCUAAAAGAUACCUCAGUUCGGAUUGCACUCUGCAACUCGAGUGCAUGAAGCUGGAAUUACUAGUAAUCGUGGAUCAGCGUGCCACGGUGAAUGCGUUCCCGGGUCUUGCACACACCGCCCGUCA